rnacentral:misc_RNA from 1 species
AAAUGCGAUAAGUAAUGUGAAUUGCAGAAUUCAGUGAAUCAUCGAAUCUUUGAACGCACCUUGCGCUCCUUGGUAUUCCUUGGAGCAUGCCUGUUUGAGUAUCAUGAAAUCUUCAAAGUAAAUCUUUUGUUAACUCAAUUGGUUUCUACUUUGGUAUUGGAGGUCUUUGCAGCUUCACACCUGCUCCUCUUUGUUCAUUAGCUGGAUCUCAGUGUUAUGCUUGGUUCCACUCGGCGUGAUAAGUUAUCUAUCGCUGAGGACACUGUAAAAGGUGGCCAAGGUAAAUGCACAUGAACCGCUUCUAAUAGUCCAUUGACUUGGACAAUACUUUUAUGAUCUGAUCUCAAAUCAGGUAGGACUACCCGCUGAACUUAAGC